GAUGAACGCUGGCGGCGUGCCUAAUACAUGCAAGUCGAGCGAACAGACGAGGAGCUUGCUCCUCUGACGUUUGCGGCGGGCGGGUGAGUAACACGUGGAUAACCUACCUAUAAGACUGGGAUAACUUCGGGAAACCGGAGCUAAUACCGGAUAAUAUAUUGAACCGCAUGGUUCAAUAGUGAAAGACGGUUUUGCUGUUACUUAUAGAUGGAUCGUCGCCGCAUUAGCUAGUUGGUAAGGUAACGGAUUACCAAGGCAACGAUGCGUAGCCGACCUGAGAGGGGGAUCGGCCACACUGGAACUGAGACACGGUCCAGACUCCUACGGGAGGAAGCGGAAGGGAAUCUUCGGCAAUGGGGGAAAGCCUGACGGAGCAACGCGGGGUGAGUGAUGAAGGUCUUCGGAUCGUAAAACCCUGUUAUUGGGGAAGAACAAAGGUGUAAGUAACUAUGCACGUCGUGACGGUACCUAAUCAGAAAGCCACGGCUAACUACGUG
rnacentral:rRNA from 1 species